rnacentral:rRNA from 1 species
AGUGAACGCUGGCGGUAGGCCUAACACAUGCAAGUCGAACGGCAGCACAGUAAGAGCUUGCUCUUACGGGUGUCGAGUGUCGGACGGUUGAGGAAUACAUCGGAAUCUACUUUUUCGUGGGUGAUAACGUAGGGAAACUUACGCUAAUACCGCAUACGACCUACGUGUGAAAGCAGGGGAUCUUCGGACCUUGCGCGAUUGAAUGAGCCGAUGUCGGAUUAGCUAGUUGGCGGGGUAAAGGCCCACCAAGGCGACGAUCCGUAGCUGGUCCGAGAGGAUGAACAGAAACACGGGAAGUGAGAAAGGGUACAGACUCCGACGGGAGGAAGCAGUGGGGAAUAUUGGACAAUGGGCGAAAGCCGGAUACAGAAAUACCGCGUGAGUGAAGAAGGCCUUAGGGUUGUAAAGCCAUGUUGUUGGGAAAGAAAAGAAGCAGGUUAACACCCCGCUGUUCUGACGGUACCCAAAGAAUAAGCACCGGCUAACUUCGUG